UACGUAGGGGUCGAGCGUUGUCCGGAGUUACUGGGCGUAAAGCGCAUGCAGGCGGCUCAUUGCGCAUGGCGUGAAAGCCCCCGGCUUAACCGGGGAGGGUCGUCGUGAACGGGUGAGCUUGAGGGUAUCAGGGGCUGGUGGAAUUCCCGGUGUAGUGGUGAAAUGCGUAGAGAUCGGGAGGAACACCUGUGGCGAAGGCGGCCAGCUGGGAUACACCUGACGCUGAGAUGCGAAGGCGUGGGGAGCGAACGGG
rnacentral:rRNA from 1 species